UACAGAGACUGCAAGCGUUAUUCGGAUUCACUGGGCGUAAAGGGUGCGCAGGCGGUCGGGUGUGUCAGAUGUGAAAAUCCCGAGGCUCAACCUCGGAACUGCGUCUGAAACUACUCGACUAGAGUACUGGAGAGGGUAACGGAAUUCACGGUGUAGCAGUGAAAUGCGUAGAUAUCGUGAGGAACACCAGAGGCGAAGGCGGUUACCUGGACAGUUACUGACGCUCAGGCACGAAAGCAUGGGGAGCAAAAAGGG
rnacentral:rRNA from 1 species